rnacentral:lncRNA from 1 species
AAACAAUUCAACAUGAGAAAACUAUGAUCUGAAUUAGUCUGGGUACCACAUUUACUGAUCUUGACCCUAGUGAGACAAAGCUGAACAAUAUGUUUCCAGCCUCUGUCAGUAGUUAAGACAGUGGUGAGUACUGAAGCCUAUGUGAGACAAAUGACUGAAACUGAGGAGGGGAACAUCCCAACAGAGAGAACAGUGAAGCAACCUGUGUCUGCUCAGGGUAUUGCCAAUCAGUCUGCUGGGGAAGAUGACUUCAGGAUCCACAGAUCAUGAUGCCCAAAAGAGACCUCUCAGUCAGUCCCUCAGCUCUACCAGCCUAUGGGGAAACCAUAGGACCACUCUGGAAGGAAGGAACCUCAGGAGGGCUCUGGUUGCACCCUGAUGCUCAGAGAUGGCUCAGCUGUGACACAAACUGGAAUGAUCGGGUCUGCUCAGGCCACAGAAAGGACUAUCCCCUAGAAAAAGGAAGUGCAAAUCUCUCUCACCAGGUUAUGUAUAUGACCGUUCAUCUUCAUUCUGCUGGUGCUAAUUGCUGUCUAUUGGACCCUUCGCUACUGUGUACAGAGAACACAUGCUUCCCCUCGACACUGCCAUCGCUGCGGGUGCACUGGAUUGUUCUGCUGUCCUCAGAUAGGAACCUGCUGCUGCUGCCUGACCACAACAGCUGGGAAUAUUCUGCUUUUAAAAGCUUAUCUUGUUGAUACUUGAGUUGAGCUAUUACACAGUGGAACAAGCAAACAGAAUGAAUGGACCCUCUGCGGGCAACUUAUGGUGCUUACUGAAUCUUCUACAGCUGUGCUAACAGUUCACAAACAAAGCUGGGCUUUGAGUGUGGUACCUUCCAAAGAGGAAUGGUUUGGGGCAUUAGACGUAGAAGAAGAAGCAUCUUGUUGCUAAUCAAGAACAUCCUUAUUGCUGUGUGGUCCUCUCAGGU